rnacentral:lncRNA from 1 species
GAUCAUGGUAAAACAAGAUGGAGGCCUGCAGCAAAGUUUGCUACUGAACAUACAGAAAGUUAGGCAAAGCACACUGGAUUUGCUUCAGUUUAAGACCAACCCCACAAAUCCUUUUUCAUAAUUAAAAUUUUACAGAGAAUAUAAACAGUGAUAGCUGGGGUCCUGCCCUGUAAAAUGUUUUCUAAAAAGAAAAAAAAAAAGCCUCUCACAUAAAAGUUAACUUCUGACAGGUAGAGAAAAGGAAAAAAUAGUUAAAGUGCAGGGUUGGAA